AGUGAACGCUGGCGGUAGGCCUAACACAUGCAAGUCGAACGGCAGCACAGUAAGAGCUUGCUCUUACGGGUGGCGAGUGGCGGACGGGUGAGGAAUACAUCGGAAUCUACUUUUUCGUGGGGGAUAACGUAGGGAAACUUACGCUAAUACCGCAUACGACCUACGGGUGAAAGCAGGGGAUCUUCGGACCUUGCGCGAUUGAAUGAGCCGAUGUCGGAUUAGCUAGUUGGCGGGGUAAAGGCCCACCAAGGCGACGAUCCGUAGCUGGUCUGAGGAUGAUCAGCCACACUGGAACUGAGACACGGUCCAGACUCCUACGGGAGGCAGCAGUGGGGAAUAUUGGACAAUGGGCGCAAGCCUGAUCCAGCCAUACCGCGUGGGUGAAGAAGGCCUUCGGGUUGUAAAGCCCUUUUGUUGGGAAAGAAAAGCAGCAGGUUAAUACCCCGCUGUUCUGACGUUACCCAAAGAAUAAGCACCGGCUAACUUCGUG
rnacentral:rRNA from 1 species